GCCCGCCGGUCGCAGAGCUGUCAGCAAGCUCCAAACCGCGGCUGCCGCCCGGAGGGAAGCAGACGGGGAGUCGGUGGCGGCCGCCGAGUCCGCAUGCGCAGGCUGCAAAGGCCCUUUUGGGCCGGUCCCGCCGCGCUAGGUUGGCGAGUGGGACUAUUUGAUCCUUUCCAGGUUCGCCAGCGUGGUGUUACGAGAGGAAAGCGCAGCCGCAGCGUACGAAUGGGAAGGCCAAACACGGUCCCGGGGAGUCUGAGGGAAGCUGCAGGGCGCCUGGAAUUGGGGUCUCGAGUGAGCCGGUAAAAACCGCCUCCCGCUGAGCGUCCCGGAACAAAUACUGUCUGAACUGAGCCGUAAGCAAGAAACGGUCAGGAGAAGCUGGGGCGAUCUGAUGAUUAGAACAUUUCAGGGACUACCAGAGAGAAGUGCGUAAUUGCUCUAAGGCAGGUAGGUAAUUGGCCUGGAAACUUGGGAACGCCCCGCCCCCCACCCCGACUUUCAGCAAACCACCGUGCCCAGGAAAAAGAGCGAUUGUGGAAGACCCUGUGAAGAAGAGACCAGGAAGGCACUGUGGCUUAAGAGAGCAAGGCGUUCCUGAAUGCAGCCAACAUCAACUGGUAAACAAAAAACUGUGAGAACGGAUCCUGAAUCUUGCGCUUACCAGGGGAAAUUCAGGAGAGAUAUGAACCUGAGCAAGAUGAGGUUGAAGUUACUCAAUGCGGCAUUAAGCCUGUUCACGGCCACUUCCUCCGGCGUCACCAACACACACACUGUACACCAGCAGUAUUUUUACACGGGGUAUGUGUGUUAAGUACUAUCAGGUGGAUAAUUAUUACUUCACCUGUAUUUGCUGCCUUGAUACCAUUAGAGAAACUCAUGAAUUAUAAAUAGCAUAGUGAAUUUGUGAUUCCCUGAAGAUAUACUAAGGUGGACUUUUAAAAAGGCUUCUAUUCCAAAGGGAACUAAUAUGGAGGAAAUGGUUUCGAGAAAGAAAAAAGAAAAAACGGAGUCCUUGAUUAGUUGUGGGGAAGGCAACAUAAUGUAAUGUGAAGAAUAAAGGAGUCAGAUCCAGGAAACCCCAUAACUAUUAUGAAACAUUUCUAGGCUGGGCGCAGUGGCUCACACCUGUAAUGCUAGCGCUUUGGGAAGCCAAGAUGGGAGGAUUAUUUGAGGCCGGGAGUUUGCGACCAGCCUGAGCAACAUAGCAGGAUCCUGUCUCUGCAAAAAAAUUUAAAACUAGCCAGGUGCGGUGGCUCGUGCCUGUUGCCCUAGCUACUCAGGGAGACUGAGGCAGAGGAUUGCUUCAACCCAGGAGUUUGAGGUUGCAGUGAGCUAAGAUCAUGUCACUGCACUCCAGACUGAGCAACAGAGUGACACUUUAUAAAAAAAAAAAAAAAAAAAACUAGGUUUUUGAACUUGCUUAAUCAAAGAAUUUGUUUAAACUUUUAAGAUGCGUUGUCAGAUUAUCUUUCCCUAAAGGAAUAAUUUCUAUUCCUAUCAGCUGUUUAUAUUCCUGCCUAGUCACCAUCACUAGAUAUAAUUGAUUUUCAGUUUUUGCCAAUCUGAGGAACAAAAAAUGACCCUUAUAUGUCAAAUUUACAGUUUAUUUUCAAGGAUUUUGGGAUUCUGAUCAAAUUUUGGUACCUUCAUAUAAAAUUUGGCUUUUAUAUCA
rnacentral:lncRNA from 1 species